AACCUUCAAAUGAAAAACACAAAAACUUGAGAAAAAAUGCCAAAAAUCGAUUAAUUACCCUGGAUAAUAAGGAGUGGGAACCAGAAAUGCUUCACCAGGAUCAGCCAAGCAAAAGGCAACCAUCUCAUGAGCUCCGGUUGCCCC